rnacentral:tRNA from 1 species
GGGAUGUAGCUCAAUGGCAGAGCAUGUGUCUUGCAUGCAUGAGGCCCUGGGUUCAGUUCCAAGUAUUGCCA